UGCGGAAGGAUCAUUAGUGAAUCUAGGACGUCCAACUUAACUUGGAGUCCGAACUCUCACUUUCUAACCCUGUGCAUCUGUUUUAAAAUUGGCUAGUAGCUCUUCGGAGCGAACCACCAUUUUUCACUUAUACAAACACAAAGUCUAUGAAUGUAAACAAAUUUAUAACAAAACAAAACUUUCAACAACGGAUCUCUUGGCUCUCGCAUCGAUGAAGAACGCAGCGAAAUGCGAUACGUAAUGUGAAUUGCAGAAUUCAGUGAAUCAUCGAAUCUUUGAACGCACCUUGCGCUCCUUGGUAUUCCGAGGAGCAUGCCUGUUUGAGUGUCAUGAAAUCUUCAACCCACCUCUUUCUUAGUGAAUCUGGUGGUGCUUGGUUUCUGAGCGCUGCUCUGCUUCGGCUUAGCUCGUUCGUAAUGCAUUAGCAUCCGCAACCGAAACUUCGGAUUGACUUGGCGUAAUAGACUAUUCGCUGAGGAUUCCAGACUUGUUCUGGAGCCGAGUUGGGUUAAAGGAAGCUUCUAAUCCUAAAGUCUAUUUUUUGAUUAGAUCUCAAAUCAGGUAGGACUACCCGCUGAACUUAAGCAUA
rnacentral:rRNA from 1 species